GUGAAUCAUCAAAUUUUUGAACGCAUAUUGCACUCUCUGGUAUUCCGGAGAGCAUGCCUGUUUGAGGGUAAUUAAAACGAACCUUUAACCAAUUUUUUUAGUCAAAGGAUAUGAGUUCUCAGGGUUUAUAGUGGUAGUUUGAAAUAAAUGGUCAAGUCUCAUUUUAGUCGAGACGAGUAAUAAUAUUAUCUCGCGAAAUGUUCAUUAUGUGACUAUAAAGUUUUGAUGCAUAUAAAUUUGGUUUGUAUGUGAUCAAUACCAUUAUUUUGAACAUUUCC
rnacentral:misc_RNA from 1 species